rnacentral:rRNA from 1 species
AGCAGCCGCGGUAAUUCCAGCUCCAAUAGCGUAUAUUAAAGUUGUUGCAGUUAAAAAGCUCGUAGUUGAAUUUCGGGAUUGACGUGACGGUCAUGCCUUAAGGGGUAUGAACUGUUACAGUUGAUUUCUCACCUUCUGGAGAAACUUGAUGUCCUUUAUUGGGUGUCUUGCGGAUCCAGGACCUUUACCUUGAAAAAUUAGAGUGUUUAAAGCAGGCAUUUUUGCUCGAAUACAUUAGCAUGGAAUAAUAGAAUAGGACGGCAUGGUUCUAUUUUGUUGGUUUCUAGGAUCACCGUAAUGAUUAAUAGGGAUAGUUGGGGGCAUUAGUAUUCAAUUGUCAGAGGUGAAAUUCUUGGAUUUAUUGAAGACUAACUACUGCGAAAGCAUUUGCCAAGGAUGUUUUCAUUAAUCAAGAACGAAAGUUAGGGGAUCGAAGACGAUCAGAUACCGUCGUAGUCUUAACCAUAAACUAUGCCGACUAGGAAUCAGACGAUGUUAAUUUUUAAUGACUCGUUUGGCU